GUGGUGGCUCAGUGGUAGAACAUCUGCUCCGUAUGUAGAAAGUCUCUUGUUUCGAUUCCUGGCAUCUCCA